rnacentral:rRNA from 1 species
UACAGAGGGGGCAAGCGUUAUUCGGAAUUAUUGGGCGUAAAGGGCGCGUAGGCGGCCUGACAAGUGGAAGGUGAAAUCCCUCGGCUUAACCGAGGAACUGCCCUCCAAACUGUUUGGCUUGAGUCCGGGAGAGGUGAGUGGAAUUCCCAGUGUAGCGGUGAAAUGCGCAGAUAUCAGGAGGAACACCGGUGGCGAAGGCGGGUCUCUGGGCCGGAACUGACGCUGAGGAGCGAAAGCGUGGGGAGCGAACAGG